UACGAAGGGGGCUAGCGUUGCUCGGAAUUACUGGGCGUAAAGCGUGCGUAGACGGUUAUUUAAGUCGGGUGUGAAAGCCCCGGGCUCAACCUGGGAAUUGCAUUCGAGACUGAAUAGCUAGGGUACGGUAGAGGGAAGUGGAAUUUCCGGUGUAGCGGUGAAAUGCGUAGAUAUCGGAAGGAACAUCAGUGGCGAAAGCGACUUCCUGGACCAGUACCGACGUUCAGGCACGAAAGCGUGGGGAGCAAACAGG
rnacentral:rRNA from 1 species